rnacentral:rRNA from 1 species
AUUGAACGCUGGCGGCAUGCCUUACACAUGCAAGUCGAACGGUAACAGGUCUUCGGAUGCUGACGAGUGGCGAACGGGUGAGUAAUACAUCGGAACGUGCCUAGUAGUGGGGGAUAACUACUCGAAAGAGUGGCUAAUACCGCAUGAGAUCUACGGAUGAAAGCAGGGGAUCGCAAGACCUUGUGCUACUAGAGCGGCCGAUGGCAGAUUAGGUAGUUGGUGGGAUAAAAGCUUACCAAGCCGACGAUCUGUAGCAGGUCUGAGAGGACGAUCAGCCACACUGGGACUGGGACACGGCCCAGAAUCCUACGGGAGGAAGGAGUGGGGAAUUUUGGAAAAUGGGCGCAAGCCUGAUCCAGCAAUGCCGCGUGCAGGAUGAAGGCCUUCGGGUUGUAAACUGCUUUUGUACGGAACGAAAAGCCCCGGGUUAAUACCCUGGGGUCAUGACGGUACCGUAAGAAUAAGCACCGGCUAACUACGUGCCAGCCGCCGCGGUAA